UUGAACGCUGGCGGCAUGCCUUACACAUGCAAGUCGAACGGUAACAGGUCUUCGGAUGCUGACGAGUGGCGAACGGGUGAGUAAUACAUCGGAACGUGCCCGAUCGUGGGGGAUAACGCAGCGAAAGCUGUGCUAAUACCGCAUACGAUCUACGGAUGAAAGCGGGGGAUCGCAAGACCUCGCGCGGACGGAGCGGCCGAUGGCAGAUUAGGUAGUUGGUGGGAUAAAAGCUUACCAAGCCGACGAUCUGUAGCUGGUCUGAGAGGACGACCAGCCACACUGGGACUGAGACACGGCCCAGACUCCUACGGGAGGCAGCAGUGGGGAAUUUUGGACAAUGGGCGAAAGCCUGAUCCAGCCAUGCCGCGUGCAGGAUGAAGGCCUUCGGGUUGUAAACCCCUUUUCAUGAGGAAGAAAUAUGACGGUACUCGUGGAAUAAGUCUUGGCUAACUACGU
rnacentral:rRNA from 1 species